rnacentral:rRNA from 1 species
CUACGGGAGGCAGCAGUGGGGAAUUUUGGACAAUGGGCGCAAGCCUGAUCCAGCCAUGCCGCGUGAGUGAAGAAGGCCUUCGGGUUGUAAAGCUCUUUCGGCCGGAACGAAAUCGCGCCCCCUAAUACGGGGUGUGGAUGACGGUACCGGAAGAAGAAGCACCGGCUAACUACGUGCCAGCAGCCGCGGUAAUACGUAGGGUGCGAGCGUUAAUCGGAAUUACUGGGCGUAAAGCGUGCGCAGGCGGCGCGCCAAGUCAGAUGUGAAAGCCCCGGGCUUAACCUGGGAACGGCGUUUGAAACUGGAGGGCUGGAGUGUGGCAGAGGGAGGUGGAAUUCCACGUGUAGCAGUGAAGUGCGUAGAGAUGUGGAGGAACACCGAUGGCGAAGGCAGCCUCCUGGGCCAACACUGACGCUCAUGCACGAAAGCGUGGGGAGCAAACGGGAUUAGAUAUCCGAGUAGUCC